rnacentral:pre_miRNA from 1 species
AUAUGAGUCACUUAGGAAUCUUGUUAAAUUGCAGCUUCUGAUUCAGUAAGUCUGAGGUGAGGUCUAAGAUUCUGCAUUUCUGACAAGCCUUUAGGUGAUGCUCAU